AGCAGCAAAACUCUCAGCCUCAGGGUCACCAUCCAAAAAAAAAAGACUCGAUGGAGAAGCUAGCUGUGUUCCCUCUCUUGAUUGUUGCCUAUGCAUUUGUAACUCAUGAAGGUGAUUGUUUUGAAAUUGUUGGUGGAAGAGAGGUCCUGCCUCACUCAAGACCCUACAUGACUUACCUUAAUACAUUGUGUGGCGGAGCUUUGAUUAAACCAAACUGGGUGCUGUCGGCGGCACACUGCAAAAACUGAACCAAAAUUGCGGCCUUGAAUGAAUUUGUUUCAACUCUUCCACUACCCCAUUCUGGAAAAGAUGUCAGAGCAGGAAUCAAAUGCAGUGUUGCAGGAUGGGGUGCUGUCAGGUUUGGCAACCAAAUGGAAGACAAACUGCGAGAAGUAAAUGUAACCGUCAUAGACAGACAAACAUGCAAUGGCCCCGAUUACUAUGAACAAAUUGAAAUAUCAAGGAGCAUGCUGUGUGCUGGAGACCCUAAAGGAGGAAAAGACUCCUGCUGGGGAGAUUCAGGAAGCCCUUUGCUGUGUUACGAAGGCUAUGAUUUGAUCUAUCGAGGGAUUGUCUCCUUUGGUAUAAAUUGUGGAGUGGCUCAUAAACCAGGCGUGUACACACUCCUUACAGAAGAAUAUCUCAGGUGGCUUCAACAAACGAUUCAGCAUUACGAAUGAUGACAUAUUCCUAUCAUUUCUUUACAAAUUCCUGUACUGACUUUCUGAGAUCCUCUGCUUACCUGAAGUUUGUGCCAUCUAAUAUGAUUUAAUAAAAUGAAAAUUAAAGCA